CAGUCGCCACGGUAAUACGAAGGGUGCAAGCGUUAAUCGGAAUUACUGGGCGUAAAGCGUGCGUAGGCGGUGAGUUAAGUCUGCUGUGAAAUCCCCGGGCUCAACCUGGGAAUGGCAAUGGAUACUGGCUCGCUAGAGUGUGUCAGAGGAUGGUGGAAUUCCCGGUGUAGCGGUGAAGUGCGUAGAGAUCGGGAGGAACAUCAGUGGCGAAGGCGGCCAUCUGGGACAACACUGACGCUGAAGCACGAAAGCGUGGGGAGCAAACAGGAUUAGAUACCCCUGUAGUCCCUGUCUCUUAUAA
rnacentral:rRNA from 1 species